GAGGUUAUAGCUCAGCGGUAGAGCACAUGCUUAGCAUGCACGAGGUCCUGGGUUCAAUCCCCAGCACCUCCA
rnacentral:tRNA from 1 species